rnacentral:rRNA from 1 species
GCACGUAGUUAGCCGGCUGCUUCUUCUUACGGAAACCGUCAUCUACCCAGAGUAUUAGCCCAGGCAAUUUCGUUCCGUCCGAAAGAGCUUUACAACCCGAAGGCCUUCUUCACUCACGCGGCAUGGCUGGAUCAGGGUUGCCCCCAUUGUCCAAAAUUCCCCA